ensembl:miRNA
CUGUGCGUGACAUGGUGACUGCCCUCAAGGAGCUUACAAUCUAGCUGGGGGUGAAUGAUUUGACCUUGAACGCAACUAGACUGUGAGCUUCUAGAGGGCAGGGACCUAA